rnacentral:lncRNA from 1 species
GCUUUUUAGGGUCACACCCACAGCAUGCUGAGGGUCCCAGGCUAGGGGUCGAAUCGGAGCUAUAGCCGCUGGCCUACACCACAGCCACAGCAACGCCAGAUCCGAGCCGCAUCUGGGACCUACACCACAGCUCACAGCAAUGAUGGAUCCUUAACCCGCUGAGCGAGGUCAGGAAUCGAACCUGCGUCCUCAUGAAUGCUAGUCAGAUUCGUUUCCACUGAGCCAUGAUGGCUGUUCUACAAUUUUUAAGAUGAGAAAACGAGCACUGCGAUUACUGUUAGUUUGAAAAUCGACAGGGGUGACUCCAGAGGUUACCUCUCCAGUAGCUGGGCCUGAGGGAAGAACGGGGAAGGGCACCUCUGAGGUUCUGCCAUAGUCACUGCUUGUUAGGGACAGGGCUUCAGGUAAAGGGCCAUGACCAGUGUCUCUCAAGGUUACCCCACCAUGUCGUCGUGGGCCAGGCUGAAGGAGGAGAGUUGCAGUGUUUCCUGCCGUAUCACAUCUUAUGUCAGGUGCACUCAUCGCAGGGCCAAGCGAAUGACCUUCAAAUGCAGGGAGGUUCAGACUCAGCUUCCCUGGAGUCUCCAACUGACUAAUGAAAGAGGGAAAGAAAGGGAGGGAAGGAGGGCGGGAGGCUCACCCCCUGAGUGUAAGUGAGUCUUUCCAGGGCACCCACAUCAAGGAAGGUCAGAGGUCAUUUAGAUUUGAGAGCCAAGAGACCACUUUAAAAACAGCUAGACCUGUGUGUGGAAGUGUUCUCUGUAAUUAAGAUAAAUAUACACUUUCUUUCCGUGUUAUUGAUAAACCACUCUGAAGAUUUUUGGCACUACAACACUAAUUAAAAUCUAUAAAUGAUAUAACUAUAUGCAAAUACGUUUAUUAUUUUUAAAGAUAGAAUUUAUGCAGGAGUGAAUUGCUGACUCUGCAUUUAUUUCAACUUUCAUUAAUUAAUAUACUUAGUUCUAUCUUAGGCUUCUGCUUAUGAUUAGUUUGAUACAACUGAUAGGUCACUUAAGAAACUAAGAAAUAUUUAUGUCUUUUUCAUUUUUAUUGGACAUUCAAAACCUAUUUGGGUCUAACCACCAUGGGAAACUGAACAAAGCAUAUUUUUUCAUUGUAUCCAAAUGGGCAUAAACCACAAAGUUGAAAAAAUAUUUCCCAAAGAAGCUUCUCUUAACCUAUCUACCCUUUUUUCGUAGUGACAGUGUGGCUGUUUCAUAGGAAAAAUACUUCAUUUGUUUGUUUUUCAUUUUUUGAAUGUUUUUUUUCCUAAAAGCCUGGGUAAUCCUGGGAUUACCGUAUGUUUAAAACAAGCAUCUCAAACGAAGAUGACAGCAGAGGUCUGCUUUGCUCCUCACUCUGCAGGGUGAGGUCUUCUGUGAUCGGGUAUAAACCGCGAGGAGCGAAGAGGCCUUCACUGGUGGAGUGCUUUUGGUAUACAUCAAACUCCACCAGGCACAUACAGGAGUUCUCAUCGUGACACAGUGGUUAACAAACCCAACUAGUAUCCUUGAGGACUCGAGUUCAAUCCCUGGCCCAGCACAGUGGGUUAAGGAUCCAGAGUUGCAGCAGCUGCGGCUCAGGUUGCAGCUACGGUUCGGAUCUGAUCCUUAGCCUGGGAACGCCUCAUGUUGCAGGGCGGCCAAAAAUGAAAGAAAAACAAUGAGAGGGGAGGGAAAGAGGGAGGAGAGAGAGAGGGCAGUGGGGAGUGGGGGAGAGAACUGAGGGAGAGGAGAAGGCUGGAUGAAGAACAGCUCCCAUCUUCCUCACCAGGGCUCACUUCUGACCAGUCAGCAAGGGCUGGGAGUUGGCUGCUUAAUCCCUGAGAAAGUAAGCAGGGCUUAGCGGAGCAAACUCUCUUCACAGGGGGCUAAUUUUACGGAGCCCCAGGAUGGCAAAUGUAGCCUCCAGUGGCGAGCCCUUGAUGGCUUAGAGGAGGCAGGUCCAGAGGGAGUUGGAGUGGGGGAGUGCCAGUGUGGCCUCCUGACCCCCCCUCGCUGAGAGCCAGCUCCAGUCUGUGCAGGUGUCAGGACGUGGAGCAGCCCAGGGGCCUGGGCAACAUGAGGACACUCCUAUCACGGUACUGAGCAUCACCAGGGAAAGGGGUGGAAACAGGCUUGUCGCAGACCUUCUGACACAAAACCAACAUGCAGCAGCAACCCCUUUUUCUUUCAGGAUUUCUUUAGAAAUGUGUGCCGCCAUCCCAAACACUGCAUGUUUACACAUAACACAUUUGUGGCAACCUUGUGUCAAACAAGGCUACCGACACCAUUUUUCCAAGAGCAUUUGCUUACCGCAUGUCUCUGGGGUCCAUUUGGCCAGUUAAUAACCCUACAGCGACGUCUAAGUGUUCAAGUGAAAGCAAGAGUCACAGGUCUCUCACUUCAAAUCAAAACCUGGAAACAAUUAAGCUUAGUGAGGAAGGCAUGUCAAAAACCGGUUUAGGCCAGGAGCUAGGCCUCUGUGCCAACAGUUGGCCAAGCUGUGAAUGCAAAGGAAACGUUCUUGAAGGAAAUUAACAAUGUUACUCCAGCGAAGACAUGAAUGGUAAGAAAGUGAAACAGCCUUGUUGCUGACCGGGAGAAAGUCCUAGUGAUCCAGAUGGGAGAUCAAACCAGCCACAAUAUUCCCCCAAACCAAAGCCCCUAACUCUCUUCAGGCCUAUGAAGGCUGAGAGAGGCAAGGAAGCUGCAGGAGAAAAGACUGAAGCUAGCAGAGGCUGGUUCAUGA